rnacentral:lncRNA from 1 species
CGCAGUAUAGUACACCUGCCUCCCCGUCACGCUAUCGUACGCCAUCUGAGUAUACGGCGACGCCUCGGCGUACGUCGCCACAUAUUUUGGGGGCUGCGGAGGCAGAGUACUUGGCUGAGGCUGCGGAGGCAGAGUACUUGGCUGCGGCUGCGGUGGCAGAGUACUUUGCUGCUGCUGCUGCUGCUGCUGCUGUGGUACCACAUUGUACACCGGCUGAUCCCGGUAAACUUCAGACCCCAUCCGCGGCUGCAUGUGGUAGUAUCCUUGACCGGGCGGGCCGGUCACCGGUCGUACCAUUGGCGGCGGCGCGUGAUACAUAGCGCCGCCUCCGGUGGUGGCUGUGAUCAUGUACAUCGGCUGUUCAGGUGCGGCCGUCCCUGGAAACCCCACACUGGGGACCUGCUUCUCCGCCCAGUACCCCGGCGGCGGCGGCGCCGUCACCGGAGGCGCCUUCUCUGGAAGUUUCUGUACGUAAUAAUCUCCGGCACCGCCGCCGUACCCUCCGACGAGAUUCUCGUCAACCUGUCUCCGAUACAUGGCCUGCUGAUGAUCUUGCUCUGCAAUUUGUAGCCUCUGCAAAUGCCUCUGGAACUC